AAGUGACGCGGUAGAGGAGCGUUCUGUAAGCCUGUGAAGGUGAGUUGAGAAGCUUGCUGGAGGUAUCAGAAGUGCGAAUGCUGACAUGAGUAACGACAAUGGGUGUGAAAAACACCCACGCCGAAAGACCAAGGGUUCCUGCGCAACGUUAAUCGACGCAGGGUUAGUCGGUUCCUAAGGCGAGGCUGAAAAGCGUAGUCGAUGGGAAACAGGUUAAUAUUCCUGUACUUCUGGUUACUGCGAUGGAGGGACGGAGAAGGCUAGGCCAGCUUGGCGUUGGUUGUCCAAGUUUAAGGUGGUAGGCUGAAAUCUUAGGUAAAUCCGGGGUUUCAAGGCCGAGAGCUGAUGACGAGUCGUCUUUUAGAUGACGAAGUGGUUGAUGCCAUGCUUCCAAGAAAAGCUUCUAAGCUUCAGGUAACCAGGAACCGUACCCCAAACCGACACAGGUGGUCGGGUAGAGAAUACCAAGGCGCUUGAGAGAACUCGGGUGAAGGAACUAGGCAAAAUGGCACCGUAACUUCGGGAGAAGGUGCGCCGGCUAGGGUGAAGGAUUUACUCCGUAAGCUCUGGCUGGUCGAAGAUACCAGGCCGCUGCGACUGUUUAUUAAAAACACAGCACUCUGCAAACACGAAAGUGGACGUAUAGGGUGUGACGCCUGCCCGGUGCCGGAAGGUUAAUUGAUGGGGUUAGCGCAAGCGAAGCUCUUGAUCGAAGCCCCGGUAAACGGCGGCCGUAACUAUAACGGUCCUAAGGUAGCGAAAUUCCUUGUCGGGUAAGUUCCGACCUGCACGAAUGGCGUAACGAUGGCGGCGCUGUCUCCACCCGAGACUCAGUGAAAUUGAAAUCGCUGUGAAGAUGCAGUGUAUCCGCGGCUAGACGGAAAGACCCCGUGAACCUUUACUGUAGCUUUGCACUGGACUUUGAGCCUGCUUGUGUAGGAUAGGUGGGAGGCUUUGAAGCGUGGACGCCAGUUCGCGUGGAGCCAUCCUUGAAAUACCACCCUGGCAUGCUUGAGGUUCUAACUCUGGUCCGUAAUCCGGAUCGAGGACAGUGUAUGU
rnacentral:rRNA from 1 species